rnacentral:rRNA from 1 species
UACAGAGGCCCCGAGCGUUAGUCGGAAUCACUGGGCUUAAAGGGUGCGUAGGCGGAUCGGUAAGUGUUCUGUGAAAGCCCCCGGCUCAACCGGGGAAGUGGCGUGGAUACGACCGGCCUCGAGGGGGGUAGGGGGACCUGGAACUUCCGGUGGAGCGGUGAAAUGCGUUGAGAUCGGAAGGAACGCCCGUGGCGAAAGCGAGGUCCUGGACCCUUUCUGACGCUGAGACGCGAAAGCCAGGGGAGCGAACGGG